CAGAUGGGGAUGCCUCUCUUAAUUUAACCAAAUAUCUCUAUUAUAUUAAUAGUUCCUCCUUUAGAGGCCCAAUAAGAUGGCUUCAUUGGGCUGCCCACAAUGCUGCCUGGAUCCCUACCCUCCAGCUCACUGAGAAAUGUCAGUCAGGAAGGCCUGGAUAAGCCUAUGGAAGAUGCUCUACCAUUCCUUCUGAUGUGUUUGCUUUAGGACUGGCACUGGUUGACCUGAAUCUCACCUGUUGUCUGACUGUGUGAAUACCUUUAACUUCUCCCUGCCAAGGUACCACAUCUUACUUCUAAGUGAAGAUUACGGAUGAAAGUUUGGUCACCUGCGUGGAUCAGUAGGAUUAGAGACAUCAAAGCAAGUGGAAAUAAGAAAGACAAGCAGAGAAACAACAAACAAAAAGAAGUCCAUCUCUGAAAUUGAAGGUCUAGAAGAGACUCAUCAGACAAAAUACAUGGGAGAGGUGAAUAGACCAAGCAACCUGUGUUAAACACAUGUGGGUAAUAAACCCGUCAUAACCCUUCUUUGUUUAGGUAGCUGCUAACCUAUCCAAGAAGUUUAUCCUUACAAAACCUUUUCAAUAAAGGACUUAA